UUUACGAAGUACACACAACAUCGAAGGCACCAGUUGCCAUAUUAAACGGAAUAUCUCGAUGACGCGUUUCUUCCAGGAAGAGAGAAAGUCAAGAUGAUUUGUUUCUUUUUUCUUUCCCCUCCCCUUUAACGCAUGCCCCAGGAACAAGUUUCGAACGAAAUCGAUGAUUUUAAGUAAACAACAUUCAUCUGCCAUGUGAGAAUGGGCCAUGGUACGUCACAGGCAUCGCUUAUGCUAAUUUCUAAUGUGACUUCGUUUCGUCAUGAACAUUUUAUAGAAGAAUGGAUUCUACUUAUAUGGCAAGAUGAUCGGGGUUACUUAUUAAACUCUAAGCGAAUGAUUUUGGUACCCUGGAUGAUUGCUAACAGUAGAUCAAAUUGUUCGAAGAAUAACAGUUGAAAAAUUGAAGGAAACUCGUCUCUUUCAUCCUUCAACUCAUU
rnacentral:misc_RNA from 1 species